rnacentral:hammerhead_ribozyme from 1 species
GUCUAGAUGACGAGUCCCGGAUAGGACGAAAUUUACAUCCUGGAU